AUAAACCCCCCAAAAAACAAACCAAAAAAAACCUUUCUGUUUUGUUCCCUCCCAACAGCCCUGCUGUUCCCUGGAAUUGGCACUCGGGCAUCCCUCCUUUUUCUUCUCCCCUCCCAUAACCCCCACGGAAAAGUGGGAGAAAUCAGGAAGAAAGAGGAAGUCAUGAAAUCAAGUCAUUAAUUAGUGGGACCUCACUGUAAAAUCCUGUAGAUGUGGGGGCUUUCCCGGACACUUGAUGCAGCAAUAUCCAUCUGAAAACUGGAAUGCAUAGUUGAAAUUUAACAAACUGCAGCCAAUGAUCCGGGAGAGCAGGAACUGUGGUGGCUCUCACUGGGCAGGGGGCAGUCCACCCACGCCUCUCCCCAGUGACUCAGGAAUUCAGGGAGCAGAGCCAAGAACCAAGCAGGACAUUGAUAGGCGCAUGUAGUUGGAACCCCAAGUCUGGGCCCUUUUCUCCCUGGAACUCAAUGAACUCAAUGCCCAGCCACCCCGUAGUCAAAGAAACAUGGAUAAAAUGCAAUCGGAAAAGUAAAAACGGCAACAGAGCUGUGGUUGGGGGAUAGAAAAGAAAGCUAAAUCAUACCACACUGGAAGCAUUUUCAAAGGGGAAAACCGUGAGCCCAAAUGCCGAGGAGGCCGAAUUUUCUCUAUCAAAAUGCAUUUUGUGGGGGAAGGGAGGGAAACUCAGACUUCCCAGCAGCAUGGCAGGUCUUGGCACCCACCUCGGUUCCCCUGCUGAACUUCCACAAAUAAACAUUCAAAGCAAAAGGGACAGAUUUGCUUCUCAGCAAGAUUUCAAAGCCGUGCGCCAGAGUUGGAGAGAAAACAGGAAGGAUGCCCACCUAGGUCACCAAUCUGUGUGUGCAUACUUGCAAGUGAGCAUGGCAAUAGUGUGAAAAUGAGCGUACCCCAGGCAGAAAGGACCAGGAGGGGUAUCCAGUCCUGAUGUUCAACGACCAUGAGCAACAACAAAGAGGCGAGCUCCCAUGUUGGCCAGUGCCCAGAAAGAAUGUUGCCAUCAUGAUGGACAGUUCUGGGGACAGUGCUGAUAAGAAGCCCUGAAGCUGGGUGGAGGUGGACAUACCUCCAGGAGCUAGAA